UAGCGGCAGGCCUAAUACAUGCAAGUCGGACGGGAUUUGGGAGCUUGCUCCCAAUGAGAGUGGCGCACGGGUGCGUAACACGUAUGUAACCUACCUUGUUCAGGGGGAUAGCCUCUCGAAAGAGAGAUUAAGACCGCAUAACGUUAUGUUGUGGCAUCACAGUAUAACCAAAUAUUUAUAGGAACAAGAUGGGCAUGCGGAACAUUAGCUAGUUGGUAAGGUAACGGCUUACCAAGGCUACGAUGUUUAGGGGAUCUGAGAGGAUGGCCCCCCACACUGGUACUGAGACACGGACCAGACUCCUACGGGAGGCAGCAGUAAGGAAUAUUGGUCAAUGGGCGGAAGCCUGAACCAGCCAUGCCGCGUGCAGGACGACGGCCCUAUGGGUUGUAAACUGCUUUUGUACGGGAAUAAACCUUGAUACGUGUAUCAAGCUGAAUGUACUGUAAGAAUAAGGAUCGGCUAACUCCGUGCCAGCAGCCGCGGUAAUACGGAGGAUCCAAGCGUUAUCCGGAUUUAUUGGGUUUAAAGGGUGCGUAGGUGGCCUGUUAAGUCAGGGGUGAAAGACGGUAGCUUAACUAUCGCAGUGCCCUUGAUACUGAUGGGCUUGAAUGGACUAGAGGUAGGCGGAAUGUGACAAGUAGCGGUGAAAUGCAUAGAUAUGUCACAGAACACCGAUUGCGAAGGCAGCUUACUAUGGUCUGAUUGACA
rnacentral:rRNA from 1 species